GUCCUUGCCCUAAACGAUGUAUACUUGGUGUUGUUGGGCUCAACCCUGACAGUACCGUAGCUAACGCGAUAAGUAUACCGCCUGGGGAGUACGCUCGCAAGGGUAAAACUCAAAAGAAUUGACGGGGACCCGCACAAGCAGUGGAGCAUGUGGUUUAAUUCGAUGCAACGCGAAGAACCUUACCUGGACUUGACAUGCACUUGACGGCUACAGAGAUGUAGCUUUCUCGCAAGAGACAGGUGCACAGGUGCUGCAUGGCUGUCGU
rnacentral:rRNA from 1 species